CUGGUCAAGGGAAGUCAUUUUCAGGAGAAAAAAAAAAGUUGGCGCGAGUUAUUCCCACCAACCGUAUCCCUAUCCCUCCACCCCCCACAAGCUUCCUUUUUGUCCCAAAUUUAGAGGCGUUCUUCACUAUCACUACUAAUACAAUUUUAGAGUUUAUCUCUCUUCUCUCCACUACGAUUUUGACAAGAACCUCAAGUAAAUCAUGGGGAAAAAAGGAGAGAAGUAGUUUAGGUGGUCAAAACUAAUGGAAUAUUUGAUGUUGGAGAUUCUAGCUGAUGAAGUGAAGCAAGGGAAUAAAUCGACUAAUCAGUUUAAAGCUAGCUCAUUCAAUCGUGUUGCGAAUGCCAUUAGCUAACAACUAGGAAUGGAUUGUUCAUCUAAGCAUGUGGAGAAUCAUCUUAAAACUACAAGAAACACUUGGAGUACAAUUCAAACUCUACUAAAUAAAAGUGGUCUUGGAUGGGAAGACAACUUGAAGAUGAUUACGGCCAGUACCGAAGUCUAUGCUGUCCAUAUUCAGGUACAUCCCAAUCAUGAUAAGUUCAUUAACAAAAAAAUUGAUAUGUUUGACGAAAUGUCUUGUGUGUGGGAAUGAUCGAGCUAGGGGAGAUUGUGCUAAGUCAUUUGAAGAUAUAGAUUUUGAGUAUUUUUCUCAGAAAGAUAAUGAUAAUGACAUUGAAGGACCAUCCACGGAAAAGGAUGCGCAAGUGACCGAAACUUCUCAAGUCAAGCCAAGUCGCAAAAGAAAACGUUCUUUUGAGGUGCAAGAUGUCAUAGGUGAUAUAUCAAUUAAAUUUGGAGAAGUGGCAACGGCAAUUGGUAGGAUGGUUGAUAGUCUUCAUCUAGAUAUGACAAAGUUGUACGAAGAAGUUAUGGCAAUGGAAGGUUAUGAGGAAGAGUUCCUCGGUGAUACUUUUGAUUAUUUGGUUCAAAGAGACACUUUAGCUAAGGCAUUCAUGGCAAAAAAUUAAAAUCUUUGUAAGGUGUGGUUGGAACGAUUCAAGCAACAACAAUAGUGACACCUAUUGAUUGGAAGAACUCAGCUUCAUAGGGUUUGAAAGCAAUUAUAUUUCACGAACUUUUAUUUUUGAUAAUAUAUCAUGUAUUUGCUACCAAACUUGAGUAAAUUCCCUAGAUGGUCACCCAUAUUUGGGAAAUUGCCUACAAAUAUCAUUUUUGUUUCAUUUAGGAUAAGAAUAUCACCCAACUCUUUCUAUUUUUCUUAAAA